AAAGGGGGUUGGGAGUAUGUAAAUCAGGCCCGACCUCCCAACCCUGUGUCUACUGAACUUUUUGUGUUGCUUCGGCGGGCCCGCCCCCCUCGUGGGGCCGCCGGAGGACGGCCGAAAGGUGUCCUCUGGUCCGCGCCCGCCGGUGGCCUACAUCUACAACUUCUGUAUAAAUCGUGCCCUGUCUAAGUCUAUUUUUACAAAAUAAAAGCAAAACUUUCAACAACGGAUCUCUUGGUUCUGGCAUCGAUGAAGAACGCAGCGAAAUGCGAUAAGUAAUGCGAAUUGCAGAAUUCCAGUGAGUCAUCGAAUCUUUGAACGCACAUUGCGCCCUUUGGUAUUCCGAAGGGCAUGCCUGUUCGAGCGUCAUUAUCACCACUCAAGCCCCCCCGCUUGUCGGGGGAGAUUUGGACUUGGACGGUCCGGUCGAUCCGCUCGCGUUCGACCCCUCCUAAAGACAAUGACGGCGGCCUCGUGGAGCCCCCGGUACACUGAGCUUCUUCAUUGAGCACGUAUCGGAUUGUUGGCGCCCGAGGACCCGGUCUUCUUUUCCGUCACAGGAAAAAGACAACCCUUCUAAGGUUGACCUCGGAUCAGGUAGGAAUACCCGCUGAACUUAAGCAUAUCAAUAAGGCGGAGGAAG
rnacentral:rRNA from 1 species